rnacentral:rRNA from 1 species
AUUGAACGCUGGCGGCAGGCCUAACACAUGCAAGUCGAGCGGUAGCACAGGAGAGCUUGCUCUCCGGGUGACGAGCGGCGGACGGGUGAGUAAUGUCUGGGAAACUGCCUGAUGGAGGGGGAUAACUACUGGAAACGGUAGCUAAUACCGCAUAAUGUCGCAAGACCAAAGAGGGGGACCUUCGGGCCUCUUGCCAUCUGAUGUGCCCAGAUGGGAUUAGCUAGUAGGUGGAGUAACGGCUCACCUAGGCGACGAUCCCUAGCUGGUCUGAGAGGAUGACCAGCCACACUGGAACUGAGACACGGUCCAGACUCCUACGGGAGGCAGCAGUGGGGAAUAUUGCACAAUGGGCGCAAGCCUGAUGCAGCCAUGCCGCGUGUAUGAAGAAGGCCUUCGGGUUGUAAAGUACUUUCAGCGGGGAGGAAGGUGCUGAGGUUAAUAACCUCAGCAAUUGACGUUACCCGCAGAAGAAGCACCGGCUAACUCCGUGCCAGCCGCCGCCGUAA